CUCGCCUAUAUGAAGUCGGAAUUGCUAGUAAUCGCGGAUCAGCAUGCCGCGGUGAAUACGUUCCCGGGCCUUGUACACACCGCCCGUCACACCAUGAGAGUCGAUAACACCCGAAGCCUGUAGUCUAACAGCAAUGAGGACGCAGUCGAAGGUGGGAUUGAUAAUUAGGGUGAAGUCGUAACAAGGUAUC
rnacentral:rRNA from 1 species